GUUCUUGUAGUUGAAUAACAACGGUGGUU
rnacentral:tRNA from 20 species